rnacentral:rRNA from 1 species
CAGCCAAGUCGUGAGGCGGAGCUAAUCCCUUAAAGCCAUUCUCAGUUCGGAUUGUAGGCUGAAACUCGCCUACAUGAAGCUGGAGUUACUAGUAAUCGCAGAUCAGAAUGCUGCGGUGAAUGCGUUCCCGGGUCUUGUACUCACCGCCCGUCACACCACGGAAGUUGGGGGCGCCCGAAGCCACUUAGCUAACCCUUUUGGGAAGCGAGUGUCGAAGGUGAAAUCAACAACUGGGGUGAAGUCGUAACAAGGUAUC